rnacentral:rRNA from 1 species
UACAGAGGGUGCGAGCGUUAAUCGGAAUUACUGGGCGUAAAGCGCACGUAGGCGGCUUGGUAUGUCGGGUGUGAAAUCCCUCGGCUUAACCGAGGACGUGCAUCCGAAACUAUGAGGCUUGAGUAUGGAAGAGGGUCGCAGAAUUCCCGGUGUAGCAGUGAAAUGCGUAGAUAUCAGGAGGAAUACCGAUGGCGAAGGCAGGUCUCUGGGCUAACACUGACGCUCAUGCACGAAAGCGUGGGGAGCAAACAGG